UACGAAGGGGGCUAGCGUUGCUCGGAAUCACUGGGCGUAAAGGGCGCGUAGGCGGCGUUUUAAGUCGGGGGUGAAAGCCUGUGGCUCAACCACAGAAUGGCCUUCGAUACUGGGACGCUUGAGUAUGGUAGAGGUUGGUGGAACUGCGAGUGUAGAGGUGAAAUUCGUAGAUAUUCGGAAGAACACCAGUGGCGAAGGCGACACACUGGCCCGUUACUGACGCUGAGGCGCGAAAGCGUGGGGAGCAAACAGG
rnacentral:rRNA from 1 species